rnacentral:tRNA from 1 species
GGAUUGUGGCUCAGUGGUAGAGUGCUUGCCUCCCAUGCAGGAAGCACUGGGUUUGAUCCUCAGCACCA